CACUCAUAACCAUAAGAUAAUUAAAACGGGGGGGGGCAGGGUAAAAAAAAAACCCUUUUAUCAGCCAUAGGUUAAUGCAAGUGUUUAACAGAUGCUUCGCUAUUAAAAUAUUUUCCCCCCAAUACUGAAGAAUCUUAAACCAGCAACCCUAACAGAGAUUGCGAAAGUUUUCAAAGUGGGGCACCUCGAUUUCUCGAAUCUGUGGUGUGGCGAAUAUCCGUGUACCUCCUGCUUAACUAGCCUGUUUGGCAGGUCUGAUUCUAUUUAUUCUAAAGACAGAGUUGGAGAUGGGCUACCAUUGGUAUUGAUUGAGAUGACAAGCAGUCACCUGAACCCAUACAGCUGGGUUCGCAGAUGUGGCUAGUCUUGCUAGCCAGCUCGCUCUGUGGAAAUUCUAGGGAACUGACUGCAGUCCUCAUGCUUGGAGUCAAACACUUUAACCACUACGCAAGUUUAUGUAAUAGGAUUGACAUAUCAGAAUCACAGAAAGGAAUGAAAGAUUAGAGGUAAACAAGAGC
ensembl:processed_transcript